rnacentral:rRNA from 1 species
GACGUAGGGCGCGAGCGUUGUCCGGAUUUAUUGGGCGUAAAGCGCUCGCAGGUGGUUCGUUGCGUCGUGCGUGAAAGACCCCGGCUCAACUGGGGGGUGUCGUGCGAUACGGGCGAACUGGAGGCCAGUAGGGGGAUGCGGAAUUCCGGGUGUAGUGGUGGAAUGCGUAGAGAUCCGGAGGAACACCAGCGGCGAAGGCGGCAUCCUGGACUGGUCCUGACACUCAGGAGCGAAAGCGUGGGGAGCGAGUCCGG